rnacentral:rRNA from 1 species
GACGAACCGAGCGAACGUUGUUCGGAAUUACUGGGCGUAAAGGGCGCGUAGGCGGCCAUCUAAGUCAGACGUGAAAUCCCCCGGCUUAACCUGGGAACUGCGUCUGAUACUGGAUGGCUUGAGUUCGGGAGAGGGAUGCGGAAUUCCAGGUGUAGCGGUGAAAUGCGUAGAUAUCUGGAGGAACACCGGUGGCGAAGGCGGCAUCCUGGACCGAUACUGACGCUGAGGAGCGAAAGCCAGGGGAGCAAACGGG